rnacentral:rRNA from 1 species
GGUAUACGAUGGACCCGCGUCUGAUUAGCCAGUUGGCAGGGUAACGGCCUACCAAAGCAACGAUCAGUAGCCGGCCUGAGAGGGUGGACGGCCACAUUGGGACUGAGACACGGCCCAAACUCCUGCGGGAGGCAGCAGUGGGGGAUAUUGCACAAUGGGGGAAACCCUGAUGCAGCGACGCCGCGUGAGUGAAGAAGCAUUUCGGUGUGUAAAGCUCUAUCAGCAGGGAAGAAGAAUGACGGUACCUGACUAAGAAGCCCCGGCUAACUACGUGCCAGCAGCCGCGGUAAUACGUAGGGGGCAAGCGUUAUCCGGAUUUACUGGGUGUAAAGGGAGCGUAGACGGCAAUGCAAGCCAGAUGUGAAAACCCGCAGCUCAACUGGGGGAGUGCAUUUGGAACUGUGUAGCUGGAGUGCAGGAGAGGUAAGCGGAAUUCCUGGUGUAGCGGUGAAAUGCGUAGAUAUCAGGAGGAACACCAGUGGCGAAGGCGGCUUACUGGACUGUAACUGACGUUGAGGCUCGAAAGCGUGGGGAGCAAACAGGAUUAGAUACCCUGGUAGUCCACGCUGUAAACGAUGAAUACUAGGUGUCGGGG